AAGAUCAUACUUCACAGGAUCAUUUCUGUAGUAUGCAUCGUCCCCUCCAGGUGCAAAUCUGGAGUCGUCGUAAGCCACGAUGAUGAGAUCUGUUCAUUUACCAGAGCGUGAGAUGACGUGAUAUGAUAAAUUCAUAUUUAUUAUGACUCGUAACGAUGAUCGCUGACGGUUUAUCCGGAUUGGUAGAUGAACGAUCUGAGUGGU